CACAGGUAUACCAGUGACUGCGAGUACACCAAUUUUCACAAGUAUGCCAAUGACUACAAGUAUACUGUAUCAGCUUACAUAAGCAUAUCAGUUUUACAUCAGUUUCCACAAGUAUACCAACGAGUGCAAUGGGCACUCAACACUAAAAGAACAGCAGUCAUCUUUUUUUUCUUUAUUUUCUACUCAACUACUGACCUUUAGUCCUGAUCCACUAGCACGGGGACUCAGUCAGCACAAAUAAAUCAGAAGCAGCGAUGUCUAGUUUUAAGGCUUGCAUGAAAUCUCAACGGAUGGAGAUAAUUCUGUCAUCGAAAGGAGUACACAGAGUGGCCGCAUGAUCGCGUGAGCGAAAAAAAA